rnacentral:rRNA from 1 species
CCUACGGGGGGCUGCAGUCGAGAAUCAUUCACAAUGGGGGAAACCCUGAUGGUGCGACGCCGCGUGGGGGAAUGAAGGUCUUCGGAUUGUAAACCCCUGUCAUGUGGGAGCAAAUUAAAAAGAUAGUACCACACGAGGAAGAGACGGCUAACUCUGUGCCAGCAGCCGCGGUAAUACAGAGGUCUCAAGCGUUGUUCGGAAUCACUGGGCGUAAAGCGUGCGUAGGCUGUUUCGUAAGUCGUGUGUGAAAGGCGCGGGCUCAACCCGCGGACGGCACAUGAUACUGCGAGACUAGAGUAAUGGAGGGGGAACCGGAAUUCUCGGUGUAGAAGUGAAAUGAGUAGAUAUCGAGAGGAACACUCGUGGCGAAGGCGGGUUCCUGGACAUUAACUGACGCUGAGGCACGAAGGCCAGGGGAGCGAAAGGGAUUAGAUACCCGGGUAGUC